rnacentral:lncRNA from 1 species
GCCAGUGCCUCCAUCCUGCUGCUUACCUCCUGGUGCAGAGCUGGUCCCCAGCUCAGCCCUCCCUUGGACAGCUGUGUCUCAUCCCAGCAGUGAUAAUCUGCUAAAAAAUGAAUGAAAGUGGAUGAAAAGGGCUGUGCAACUUUACUGCUGGUGGGAUUCAUCACUGGUGAGAUGGAAAUGGCUGCCGACAGAGCUCAGUGUCAGCAGUGGUCAUUAUGCUGCAGUAGAACGUGAAAACAUUGCCUUCAUUCUAGCUGCUCAAGGUUUGCUGCUUCAGGCUUUUGUAUUGCUUGCUAUCUCAGGGCAGCAGCAGCCACUUGGAAGUGGAAGGAGAAAAUGCAAAAAGCAAUCAUCAGUGGUUUGGCUUUGGGCACUGGUUUUCUAAUAUUGCUGGAGAUGUAUGAAGAUACAUUGCCAAAGCAUAAUUAUUACCUGGGGACCUGUCCUUGGAAAGCAGUGCGUAGGCAGAGACCAAGCCUCACGACCUAUUGAAUUACUGGUGAAAGAUGGUCAACGAAACGUGGAAAUGCACUGGAAUUUUCCCAAAGCUAAUUUUCAUUAAAGUCAUA